rnacentral:lncRNA from 1 species
ACUCCGCCGCGCCCUGCGGGCUUUCUUUUCCAGGCCUCUGCUCCUGGGUCCUGCCUCCGAGGUCAGGCAGGGCCUGUGGUUCCUCCCGACAUGUCGCAGAAGCCCUAGGGACUGUUCCGCAGCUCUAGAUGGCCCAGUGGGGAGGGGCUGCCCUGUGGGCAUUGCUGUCUGAUGGCCUGAAGGCACCGCUUGGAGGGACACAUGCCUGGGGACAGUGGGCUCACAGAUGUCUUGCUGCUUUGCCACCGAGCCUCACAGCCAUCUGCUGACCUCUCAGAGCCCAGCAGGCCCCUGCCCGGGGGUUCGUGGAAUGCCCCUGGGGGUCUCAGACCCACUGCUCAGCUCUUGGCCAGGCUCCGUAUCUCUCUAGAUUGGAGGAUUCUGGAGGGAAGUCGGUGUGGCCUCCGAUCAAAGCCUGGUGCUGACGGCCCCGAAGCGGGUGGAGGGCUUGUUCCUCACCUUGAGCGGGAGUAACCUGACCGUGAAGGUUGCAUAUAACAGCUCAGGAAGCUGUGAGAUAGAGAAGAUCGUGGGCUCAGAAAUAGACAGUACGGGAAAAUUCGCUUUUCCUGGUAAGUGCAGUUGCCCUGUGAUGGCAGGUGGAACCCGGCUGUGCACACAGCUAGGCCUUAUUGUUCCCCAUGCUGUUCCCUGCACUGUUCCCCAUGCUGUUCCCUGCACUGUUCUCUGUGCUGUUCCCUGCACUGUUCCCCAUGCUGUUCCCUGAACUAUUCCCUGUGCUGUUCCCCAUGUUGUUCCCUGCACUGCUCCCUGCACUGUUCCACAUGCUGUUUCCUGCACUAUUCCCCAUGCUGUUCCCUGCACUUUUCUCUGCGCCAUUCCCCAUGCGUUCCCUGCACUGUUCCCUGCACUGUUCCCCAUGCUGUUCCCUGCGCUGUUCCCCAUGCUGUUCCCUGCACUGUUCCUCAUGCUGUUCCCUGCGCUGUUCCACAUGCUGUUCCCUGCGCUGUUCCCCAUGCUGUUCCCUGCACUGUUCCCCAUGCUGUUCCCUGCAAUGCUCCCUGCACUGUUCCCCGCACUGCUCCCUGCACUGUUCCCCAUGCUGUUUCCUGCACUAUUCCCCAUGCUGUUCCCUGCACUUUUCUCUGUGCCGUUCCCCAUGCAUUCCCUGCACUGUUCCCUGCACUGUUCCCCAUGCUGUUCCCUGCAAUGCUCCCUGCACUGUUCCCCGCACUGCUCCCUGCACUAUUCCCCAUGCUGUUCCCUGCACUUUUCUCUGUGCCGUUCCCCAUGCAUUCCCUGCACUGUUCCCUGCACUGUUCCCCAUGCUGUUCCCUGCACUGUUCCCCAUGCUGUUUCCUGCACCGUUCCCCAUGCUGUUCCCUGCAGGGUUCCCUGCACUGUUCCCCAUGCUGUUCCCUGCACAUUUCAUGCCCCAGACCUUCCCAUUCUCCCACCAACACACUGGAUCAUCCUUCAAAAGCUUCUGUAGUGUCUCCAACCACUCAAGUGCUGGGACUGGGUGGGGGCAGGAUGGAGUUAGACCCUGCAGACCCUGGCCUUCGAGGUCCGUCCCCCUCAGACGUCUCCCCCAACGCCAUGGCCGGCUCUUGAAGGCCACAGAGAGAUCCACGUGCUGGACACCGACUACGAGGGCUACGCCAUCCUGCGGGUGUCCCUGAUGUGGCGGGGCAGGAACUUUCGCGUCCUCAAGUACUUUAGUAAGCUUGGCCCUGGGGGGCUCUGCCCAGCUGCUGCUCUCCCAGGGACUGCCCGCCCAGCCCCCCUGUGCCCCACAGCUCGGAGCCUUGAGGACAAGGACCGGCUGGGGUUCUGGAAGUUUCGGGAGCUGACAGCAGACACUGGUCUCUACCUGGCGGCCCGGCCUGGGCGGUGUGCCGAGCUCCUGAAGGAGGUGAGCCUGACCCCCGACCCUGGCCUGUGCUGAAGUUCCCGGGCCCCUGGCCCAGUCCCUGGCCCUGUCAGGAGCCCCCGUGGCUCCGCCUCCCGGCCCUGGGCUGGGCCUUCUCACCCCUUCCUGUGAACAGGACACCAAACACCACUGGUGGGCAGCUCCAGAGAUGAGUCUGUCUCCUGGUUUGGAAAGAGCUGGAACCUCCAGGGUGGUGACCCUAGGCUGCCAGGCAGGGACCCUGGGAGGCUGGGGUCACGGGGUGCAGAGCUGGGUGGGGCAGGGGAGCAGAAAUGGCGCCUUUUCUUCGGUGUUCUGUGCAGGACUGCCGGCUGCUUCUGCCCCCGAAGGUCCCGUCGGCGGCGGGGCACAGAUCCUGCGGGCGCUGCCUCAGGGCUCCCAUGUUGGGCACUGCGAGAACCCAGUGUCUCCCUCACCUCGCUUUGUCUUGGCCCUAGAGGCUGGGCCUGUUACCCCAUUUUGCAGAUUGAGAAGGCGCUCAGGGAGCUGGGUGCUUUGCGCAAAACCAGGCAGCGAGGACAGAAGUCCCGCCGUGUGGCCCUCAUCGAAGCCCCGUGGGGCCUCCAGAGACCACACGGGCCUGAGCCCCUGCACUUCUGUGUCGCAGGAGCUGAUUUAAUGGAGUUCCUGCCUCAGACCACAAGGUUCGGAGCGCCCGCCCACCCCUGCCCCUCCUGGGCACCCUGCCCACCAGGUCACCUGCACCUGCUCUGAAUAAACUGUGAAGUCAA